rnacentral:lncRNA from 1 species
GGGCAGGCUCUAGGGGUGCACCUUUUCAAGCAUCUUCUUUUCCUCCACUUCCCAUGGUUCCCAGCACCAGUCGACAAAAAUCUAAACAGGGCUCAGAAGAUAACACCAAGCAAGCUCAUCUACCAUGCCAGAAGAACAAGAAUGAAAAGUCUUUUAGUUUAGUUCAGGCAUUGGCCAUGCAAGCAUCAAGUAGUUCAAGUCAGAUUACUAAAACAACAAAUAUUGCAGCCGUGGCAUCACCUGUUACAGGUAAGGGAGUUGCAGAAUUGAGCUAUACAAGUUCAAGUCAUGCACAGGUUCAGACUCAAUCCACAACAGCAGAUAUAUUAACAGAAUCUGGCUCUGGAAUGAGCUCAGGCAAUGUAAGUAUGAUUAGC